GUGUGGCUAGACAGGUACAUCA
rnacentral:siRNA from 1 species